ACGAACGCUGGCGGCGUGCUUAACCCCUGCGAGUCGAACGGAAAGGCCCUGCUUUUGUGGGGUGCUCGAGUGGCGAACGGGUGAGUAACACGUGAGUAACCUGCCCUUGACUUUGGGAUAACUUCAGGAAACUGGGGCUAAUACCGGAUAGGAGCUCCUGCUGCAUGGUGGGGGUUGGAAAGUUUCGGCGGUUGGGGAUGGACUCGCGGCUUAUCAGCUUGUUGGUGGGGUAGUGGCUUACCAAGGCUUUGACGGGUAGCCGGCCUGAGAGGGUGACCGGCCACAUUGGGACUGAGAUACGGCCCAGACUCCUACGGGAGGCAGCAGUGGGGAAUAUUGCACAAUGGGCGGAAGCCUGAUGCAGCAACGCCGCGUGCGGGAUGACGGCCUUCGGGUUGUAAACCGCUUUCGCCUGUGACGAAGCGUGAGUGACGGUAAUGGGUAAAGAAGCACCGGCUAACUACGUG
rnacentral:rRNA from 1 species